UGAUGUGAGGGGGAUCUGGCUGCGACAUCUGUCACCCCAUUGAUUGCCAGGGUUGAUUUGGCUGAUCUGGCUGGCUAGGCAGGUGUCACCAUCCUCCCUCACUGCUCCAUGUGCAUCCCUUCCAAAGCUGCAUGCUCAGUGGAAGAGGAUGGCCUUCCUCAAAUAGAGAUGGAUUGGUCUUCAGUUGAGGGUAUGUGAGUAGCUGUGUUUCUUUGCUAGAAACUCCAAACAAGCUCUCAAAGAAAGGUCUCACCAGAAUAUUGGGGUUGAAAGGUUGACACCUCAGUAUAUAAUUCAAAGUGAAAAGGUGAUGGAAGCAUAAUAUAGGAUGAUGGCAUUCUUU
ensembl:misc_RNA 7SK 7SK RNA